AAGCUCUCUCGUUUUUUCCUCUGUAAGGGGUAUUUCUGUACAUUCUUUCCUUCCUGGAGUGGACACCCCCAAAGAGGAGAGAUCCUUGAGGACAGUUGGUUGCCCCAAUGCAGCAUUUUAUUUGUGUGGGUGGGGUGUGGUGAGGGUCUGCAGCAAAUGGGAGGCAACACCCCUCCGAAAAGAUGUGGGGACAGGAGAGGGAAAGGUGCCUUAGCAUUCCUCUUGGGUCCUAAGCCCUUUAAAAGAUGGCUCCUGCUCUUGUUCGUCUUCUUUGCUGGGGGCUGGAAAGAGGAAAGAAACCUCUUGUUUCGGUGUUCUUUGAAUGUUUACCAAUUACGUAACUAAUUGCCUCCAAGAGCUGUGGAGAAUGAUUUUGUAAGAUUGCAUCAGGUUCUGAUAGCUGAGAAGAUUCAACGCAACCUAGGAGAGACCUAGUUAAUUGCUAAAGAUGUGUUGAAGAAUGGAAUAUGCUGAAAAUGACUGUGUGAAAUACCUGAUACUGGCUGAAGCAUUGACUCCAGACAAAGGAAGAAUCCCAAAGGGAGACCACGAGUUCCAAACCAAGAUGGCAGUUCAGCUGAUUCAGUGGUUAAGGAAGUGAAGUAAUGCAUGAUUGCUGGAUAUGUCCAUCCAAAACAGGGACCCUUUAGCAUGGACUGCAUUGUUUUCUAAACCAGAGAAGACUUGGGCCAAAGAUGAUCUGAUCACCGAUUUUUAAAAUUGACUUCAAUGGAGGGAUGGGAAGGGAUGGCUGCAUUUUCAUACCAUGAAUGUAUGGAUGUAUUUGUCUGAUUUGGUGGGCAAAAGUGCAAUGCUGUUUUAAAAUGGCUUAAAUAAAAGUAUUUGUUUUACAUUUGUAA